rnacentral:rRNA from 1 species
AACAAACGCUGGCGGCGUGCCUAAUACAUGCAAGUCGAACGGGGAAAGCUUUCGGGUGAGUACUAGUGGCGCACGGGUGAGGAACGCGUGGAUAAUCUGCCUUAGAGUGGGGGAUAACUAGUCGAAAGAUUAGCUAAUACCGCAUAAGACCACAGGAGCUGCGGCUCAAGGGGUCAAAGGUUUUUCGCUCUAAGAUGAGUCCGCGUAAGAUUAGCUAGUUGGUGAGGUAACGGCUCACCAAGGCGACGAUCUUUAACUGGUCUGAGAGGAUGAACAGUCACACUGGAACGGAGACACGGUCCAGACUCCUACGGGAGGCAGCAGUAGGGAAUAUUGCACAAUGGAGGAAACGCUGAUGCAGCGACGCCGCGUGAGUGAUGAAGGCCUUCGGGUCGUAAAGCUCUGUCGCAGGGGAAUAACACAAUGAAUGUACCCUGUAAGAAAGGAUCGGCUAACUUCGUGCCAGCCGCCGCAGUAAGAC